GCAGGGUUGAAAUUAACACCCGCCAAGCACCAAAUGCGGGUAGAUUUUCUGUUUGUCGAGUAAAUCUCAGAAGGCUAUCCGCCACACUGGCGGGUAAAUGUUUGUACCAAAAUAGUCAUGUAAGAAUAUAUCUGGCAUGAUGUCUCGGUUUGCCAGCCACAGACUGUCUCGAGUGCUCCUAGUUUCGCAGCACUGUUUACCGUUCAGGACGUCAGCUACUCGACAACGCUCACCUGCCAUGGGUCUGCUGCUAGCUACCGUUCAUUAAAUAGCUGUUAUUUGGUGACAUUUACCUGGAUUAGGCCAUCCUUUGAAACGAAAACACACAGACGAAAAGGAGGACAAAUCACAUUUAAAAAAGAUAGUUUGGUGAGAAUGGAGGUUUGGAGAUAAAGUAGUUUCAAGAGGCUGGCUACAGUAUGAUGCUGUGGUGAUGAGUUGUUCUGUGUGUCGCCAGUAUGCUAAAGAUACAAGCAGAAACAACUCAUUUGUCAUCAGAAAUAAAACAAUGAAGCUGGAGAACAUUCGUGACCAUGAACGCAGCAAGUGUCACAUUGCCUGGGUGUCUGUGUCCCGGACUCAAUCGUGUCCCGGAGCCUCUCCUCUUGACACCCUCUGUGACGGUGUUAAUGGCAAUGUCAGAGCAGACCAGCACGAAGAUGAAGAUCCUGUUUAGGACUGUACAUGCCAUUGGCAAGAAGGCGAGACCACAUUCUGACUUGGAGUGGAUGUGUGAGUAAGUGAAAAUGUUGUUACUCUUGUAGCUUGACUAGUACUGUUGUAGCUAGUGUUUUCAAGUCUAUUUAGCAGACGUGGUCCAGUAUUGUAGGUUAUUUCUCAGCUCUUGAUAAGCUUUGGUUCACCUCCAAAUAGUGUAUAAAUACCAUAACAUUAUAGGCCUAUUGAUGCUGACAUGGAUCUCCAUGCUUUCCUAUGGCUCUGUAACAUUCUAUUUUAAUGUUUGUCUCCAGAUGCUGUUUACAUUUUAAACCAUUAUGACACAAUUUACCAGCCUUAGUGUUGAUCCUUAAGUAAACAAAGGGUAGAAGGCUAAUUUAGCACAAUCAACUGCCAGCUAUAUCGGAUAAUAUGAUUUGUAUAUUUAAUUAUUGAAUUAAUUUGAUGUUUGAUUUUUGCAGUUCGGACGAAAAAACAAGGAAUCGCUGUGGGCUCAACAUAUAGAAAUGAGAAGCAGGCCAAAGAGUUUAUGCACCAUAUUGCAGAGGUGGAGAGACACACCAUAUUUCUCUCCGUCAUGUCAGAUGCCUCCACAGACAGUUCUGUGAAAGAGGAGUUAGUUUGUCAGAUUCUGUCACAAGGGAAAGAUCGAGUCGAAGUUUGUUGGCAUCAAGUCAGUGAAGGCAGACGCGGCACACAAGCAACACUGUCAGUGCCAUCAUGGAGGGAGUGUGUGAUGAGUGGGGGAGCAAGUUAUUCGCUCUGGGAACAGAUGGAGCUGCUGUGAUGACCGGAGCCAAGAAUGGUGUGGUCAGCCGGGUGAUGGGAAACAGGGCCUACAUCAUCGGCAUCCACUGUAUGGCACACUGCCUUCAACUAACCUUUUCUGAUGCUAUCCGGUCCAACGUGAUGUUUCAGAAAGUAGAAGACCUCCUCAGUGGGCUCUACACCAGUCCACUAAACAGGGAAAACCUGGUAAACAGCUUCCAGGCUCUUGGCCACACUCCACUGGUGCCCACCAGAUUUGGCAGGACCCGAUGGGUAGGACACAUAUUGCGUGCACUGGACCACUUCCUGCGAGGUUACCAGGGGCUUGUCCAGCACCUGGAACAGAUUCAAUCUGCUGAUGCCCAAAAUGUCUGAGGUGUCCAGCAGGCCAAGGCCAGGAAAUACUACAGUACUGCGAGGGAGGCUGUUAUCCGCUUCUGUGGCUUCCUGCAUGACACACGAAACACACCUGAGCUGCCUGUCUGCAGAGGUCCACCAUCACCAUAGCAGAAGCCCACAGCUCAUUGUGCUCAACACAGGCAGUACUUAAGAAGUACAAAACCAGAUUUUGGUGACACUGAACUGGAAACCCUGGUGGACCACUUUAAGCCUGUCCUGGAGACCUCUGGCAUCCAUGUUGAAAGGAUCCCUGACCAGUGGACUGUCCUGAAGGUGCUGAUGUACUAAGAGCCCCAGUCCCUGCAGAAGAUGUUCUGGUUCUGUGUCAACAGGAGCCAUCAGCAUUCCUGCCCUGAUUUGCUGGCAUUGGUUGACCUGGUCCCGUCCUUCCUUGCCUCCACAGCUGAAUGUGGAAGAGGUUUUAAUACCAUGAAACAGGUGAAAAUCGAUUGGCGGUCCAACCUAAAGUCUGAUACACUGUCAGAUCUCCUUAUGGUCCAGCUGUCCUCUCCAGAGAUCAGGGAGUAUGAUCUGAUAAAAGCUGUGAUGCUGUGGCACCAGGACUCUGUCAGGAGCAAGAGGCCAGACUUCAUGGACCGUGCAAAGAGGGUGAUUGCGGUGGAGAGUGAGGAGUCUGAGGAGGUUUAAGUUUAUUAAAAUGAUUAAGCAUCUGAUAGGUUUACAAAACCUUCAAAUGUACUGUUAUGUUUGAUCCUUAAGUACAUAUAAUAGCAAAUACUUCAGUAGAAUUUUGAGUUCAAGACUUAAGUUGUAUUCAGGCUGGGAAAUUAAAUCUAGCCACAGCCAAAAUUAACCAGCGUCUGAUAAGUCUCUGUUUUACCUGUAUUUUAUCAGGGUAUUUCUACUCAAAGUAAAGGAUUUGUUGACCUGCUUCCACUGCACUUCUCAUAACUAUCUUACCAUUGCUGUUGCCCUGUUUUGACUUCUAUGUAUUCUUAUUCAUUGUAUCUGAUAUGUUUGUUUAUUUCAUUGUGUGCCCACUGUUUGGCGUGUUUUCACUCUGUACAGCACUUUUGGUCAACUACAGUUGUUUCUAAAUGUGCUCUACAAAUAAACUUGAUUUGAUUAACCGCUUAUCAAUAUAUUAAAAUCAUGUUUCAAAUUUU